UGGGGAAUCAUGGUCAAUGGGCGAAAGCCUGAACCUGCGACGCCGCGUGAGUGAUGACGGUCGUCAGAUCGUAAAACUCUUUUCAGGGAUCUUAAAGCCUGUCUGUCAACAACAGGCAGGUCUGACUCUCCCUGGAAGAAGCCCCAGCCAACUCCGUGCCAGCAGCUGCGGUACUACGUAGGGGGCGAGCGUUAUUCGGAAUUACUGGGUGUAAAGGGUAUGUAGGCGGCCCUUCAAGUCGCGUGUCAAAGUCCAGUGCUCAACGCUGGGUGUGUACGCGAUACUGACGGGCUUGAGGGCUGGAGAGGUGAGCGGAAUUCCCGGUGUAGUGGUAAAAUACGUAGAGAUCGGGAGGAACACCAGCGGCGCAGGCGGCUCACUAGACAGUUUCUGACGCUAAGAUACGAAAGCGUGGGGAGCAAACA
rnacentral:rRNA from 1 species